UACGGAGGGUGCAAGCGUUACUCGGAUUUACUGGGCGUAAAGCGCAUGCAGGCGGUCUAGUUAGUCUGAUGUGAAAGCCCACGACUCAAUCGUGGAAGUGCAUUGGAUACUGCUAGACUGGAGUACAGGAGGGGUGAGCGGAAUUCCUGGUGUAGAGGUGAAAUUCGUAGAUAUCAGGAGGAACAACGGUGGCGAAGGCGGCUCACUGGACUGUAACUGACGCUGAGGUGCGAAAGCGUGGGGAGCGAACAGG
rnacentral:rRNA from 1 species